AUCAACGCUGGCGGCGUGCCUAACACAUGCAAGUCGAACGAGAAAGCUGGGGCAACCCCUGAGUACAGUGGCGACCGGGUGAGUAACACGUGACUAACCUACCCUCGAGUGGGGAAUAACUCCGGGAAACCGGAGGCUAAUACCGCAUAACAUCGCAAGAUCAAAGUAGCAAUGCGCUUGGAGAGGGGGGUCGCGGCUGAUUAGUUAGUUGGCGGGGGGUAACGGCCCACCAAGGACGAAUGAUCAGGUAUCCGGCCUGAGAGGGCGCACGGACACACUGGAACUGAAACACGGUCCAGACUCCUACGGGAGGCAGCAGUGGGGAAUUUUGCGCAAUGGGGGAAACCCUGAUGCAGCAACGCCGCGUGGAGGAUGAAGCCCUUUGGGUUGUAAACUCCUUCGAUCAAGACGAUAAUGACGGUACUGGGAAGAAGAAGCACCGGCUAACUCUGUGCCAGCAGCCGCGGUAAUACAGAGGGUGCAAGCGUUGUUCGGAAUUAUUGGGCGUAAAGGGCGCGUAGGCGGUGCCACAAGUCACCUUGUGAAAUUCACGGGCUCAACUCGUGAGCCUGCAGGCGAAACUGCUGGUGCUGGAGUGUGGGAGAGGUGCGUGGAAUUCCCGGUGUAGCGGUGAAAUGCGUAGAUAUCGGGAGGAACACCUGUGGCGAAAGCGGCGCACUGGACCAUAACUGACGCUGAGGCGCGAAAGCUAGGGGAGCAAACAGGAUUAGAUACCCUGGUAGUCCUAGCCCUAAACGAUGAUUGCUUGGUGUAGAUGGUACCCAAUCCCUGCUGUGCCGCAGCUAACGCGAUAAGCAAUCCGCCUGGGGAGUACGGUCGCAAGGACUGAAACUCAAAGGAAUUGACGGGGGCCCGCACAAGCGGUGGAGCAUGUGGUUCAAUUCGACGCAACGCGAAGAACCUUACCUGGGCUCGAAAUGCAGGGAGACCGGGGUGGAAACAUCCCUUUCCCCUAAAGGCCUGCUGCAUAGGUGCUGCAUGGCUGUCGUCAGCUCGUGUCGUGAGAUGCUGGGUUAAGUCCCGCAACGAGCGCAACCCUUAUGCCUAGUUGCCAUCGGUAAGGCGGGCACUCUAGGCUGAACUGCCGGUGAUAACCGAGAGGAAGGUGGGGAUGACGUCAAGUCCUCAUGGCCUUUAUGUCCAGGGCUACACACGUGCUACAAUGGUCGGUACAAACCGUCGCAAACCUGCGAGGGGAGCUAAUCGGAAAAAGCCGACCUCAGUUCGGAUUGGAGUCUGCAACUCGACUCCAUGAAGCUGGAAUCGCUAGUAAUCGCGGAUCAGAACGCCGCGGUGAAUACGUUCCCGGGCCUUGUACACACCGCCCGUCACAUCACGAAAGUGGGCUGUACUAGAAGUCGGCGAGCUAACCGCAAGGAAGCAGCCGCCCAAGGUAUAACUCAUGAUUGGGGUG
rnacentral:rRNA from 1 species